rnacentral:rRNA from 1 species
UAAUACAGAGGGUGCAAGCGUUGUUCGGAUUUACUGGGCGUAAAGCGCGUGUAGGCGGUGGCGUAAGUCGGAUGUGAAAUCCCUCGGCUCAACCGAGGACGUGCAUCCGAUACUGCGUCACUUGAGUACCGGAGGGGAUGGCGGAAUUCCCGGUGUAGAGGUGAAAUUCGUAGAUAUCGGGAGGAACACCUGUGGCGAAGGCGGCCAUCUGGACGGUAACUGACGCUGAGACGCGAAAGCGUGGGUAGCAAACAGGAUUAGAUACCCUGGUAGUCCACGCUGUAAACGAUGAGUGCUAGGCGUCGCGGGUAUUGACCCCUGCGGUGCCGAAGUUAACACGUUAAGCACUCCGCCUGGGGAGUACGGUCGCAAGAUUA